CAGUCGCCGCGGUAAUACGGAGGGUGCAAGCGUUAAUCGGAAUUACUGGGCGUAAAGCGUGCGUAGGCGGUUUGUUAAGUCUGUUGUGAAAUCCCCGGGCUCAACCUGGGAAUGGCAAUGGAUACUGGCAAGCUAGAGUGUGUCAGAGGAUGGUGGAAUUCCCGGUGUAGCGGUGAAAUGCGUAGAGAUCGGGAGGAACAUCAGUGGCGAAGGCGGCCAUCUGGGACAACACUGACGCUGAGGCACGAAAGCGUGGGGAGCAAACAGGAUUAGAUACCCCUGUAGUCCCUGUCUCUUAUAC
rnacentral:rRNA from 1 species